GAGUUACUCCUCACUGGCGAGGUUAAGUACUUAAGUUACGGAGCCGUAGCGAAAGCGAGUCCGAAUAGGGCGUUUAGUCAGUGGGGGUAGACGCGAAACUUUGUGAUCUAUCCAUGGGCAGGUUGAAGUUGUGGUAACACACAAUGGAGGACCGAACUCAUUAGCGUUGAAAAGCUAUGGGAUGACCUGUGGAUAGGGGUGAAAGGCCAAUCAAACUGAGAGAUAGCUCGUUCUCCCCGAAAUGUUUUUAGGAACAGCCUCGGAUAUAGAUGUUUGCUAGAGGUAGAGCUACUGAUUGGGCUAGGGGGCUUCACCGCCUACCAAACCCUGACAAACUCCGAAUGCUAGCAAAUUUCUCCGGGAGUGAGGCUGCGGGUGCUAAGAUCCGUGGCCGAGAGGGAAAUAACCCAGAUUAGCAGCUAAGGUCCCUAAUACAUGGUUAAGUUGAUCAAACGAGGUGGGACUUCUAUAACAGCCAGGAUGUUGGCUUGGAAGCAGCCAUUCAUUUAAAGAGUGCGUAACAGCUCACUGGUCGAGAGGUCCUGCACGGAAAAUAAUCGGGCAUCAAAC
rnacentral:rRNA from 1 species